rnacentral:rRNA from 1 species
AUUGAACGCUGGCGGAAUGCUUUACACAUGCAAGUCGAACGGCAGCACGGGGGCAACCCUGGUGGCGAGUGGCGAACGGGUGAGUAAUACAUCGGAACGUGCCCGGUCGUGGGGGAUAACGUAGCGAAAGUUACGCUAAUACCGCAUACGAUCUGAGGAUGAAAGCGGGGGACCUUCGGGCCUCGCGCGAUCGGAGCGGCCGAUGUCAGAUUAGGUAGUUGGUGGGGUAAAGGCCUACCAAGCCGACGAUCUGUAGCUGGUCUGAGAGGACGACCAGCCACACUGGGACUGAGACACGGCCCAGACUCCUACGGGAGGCAGCAGUGGGGAAUUUUGGACAAUGGGCGGAAGCCUGAUCCAGCCAUUCCGCGUGCAGGACGAAGGCCUUCGGGUUGUAAACUGCUUUUGUAUGGAACGAAAAGGCUCUGGCUAAUACCUGGGGCUCAUGACGGUACCGUAAGAAUAAGCACCGGCUAACUACGUG